rnacentral:rRNA from 1 species
GACGUAGGGCGCGAGCGUUGUCCGGAUUUAUUGGGCGUAAAGAGCUCGUAGGCGGCUUGUCGCGUCGACUGUGAAAUCCCGCAGCUCAACUGCGGGCUUGCAGGCGAUACGGGCAGACUUGAGUACUGCAGGGGAGACUGGAAUUCCUGGUGUAGCGGUGAAAUGCGCAGAUAUCAGGAAGAACACCAAUGGCGAAAGCAGCUCUCUGGGACGGUACUGACGCUGAGACGCGAAAGCGUGGGGAGCGAACAGG